AUUGAACGCUGGCGGCAGGCUUAACACAUGCAAGUCGAGCGGGGGAAGGUAGCUUGCUACCGGACCUAGCGGCGGACGGGUGAGUAAUGCUUAGGAAUCUGCCUAUUAGUGGGGGACAACCUCUCGAAAGGGAUGCUAAUACCGCAUACGUCCUACGGGAGAAAGCAGGGGAUCUUCGGACCUUGCGCUAAUAGAUGAGCCUAAGUCGGAUUAGCUAGUUGGUGGGGUAAAGGCCUACCAAGGCGACGAUCUGUAGCGGGUCUGAGAGGAUGAUCCGCCACACUGGGACUGAGACACGGCCCAGACUCCUACGGGAGGCAGCAGUGGGGAAUAUUGGACAAUGGGGGGAACCCUGAUCUAGCCAUGCCGCGUGUGUGAAGAAGGCCUUAUGGUUGUAAAGCACUUUAAGCGAGGAGGAGGCUACUUUAGUUAAUACCUAGAGAUAGUGGACGUUACUCGCAGAAUAAGCACCGGCUAACUCUGUGCCAGCCGCCGCCGUAA
rnacentral:rRNA from 1 species